rnacentral:rRNA from 1 species
CUUGUAGGCGGCUUGAAAAGUCUCGUGUGAAAUCCCCUGGCUUAACCAGGGAAGUGCGCGAGAAACUUUCGAGCUUGAAUGCCGGAGAGGGUCGCGGAAUUCCCGGUGUAGAGGUGAAAUUCGUAGAUAUCGGGAGGAACACCAGUGGCGAAGGCGGCGACCUGGGCGGACAUUGACGCUGAGACGCGAAAGCGUGGGGAGCAAACAGGAUUAGAUACCCUGGUAGUCCACGCUGUAAACGAUGGGUGCUAGCUGUGGUGGGUGUUGACCCCUGCCGUGGCGCAGCUAACGCAAUAAGCACCCCGCCUGGGAAGUACGGCCGCAAGGCUAAA